rnacentral:misc_RNA from 1 species
GAUGAAGAACGUAGCGAAAUGCGAUAAGUAAUGCGAAUUGCAGAAUUCCAGUGAGUCAUCGAAUCUUUGAACGCACAUUGCGCCCUUUGGUAUUCUGAAGGGCAUGCCUGUUCGAGCGUCAUUAUCACCCCUCAAGACUACUUGAUGGCAGUUUUGGUGUUGGAUGGUUUGGUUAUGCUCUUGCUUAGACCCCUCCUAAAGACAAUGACGGCGGACUUGUGGAACCCCCGGUACAAUGAGCUUCUUAACUGAGCACGUAUCGGAUUAAGGGUGCCCGAGCCCCGGUCUUACUCCCUUAAGUGGGAAAACCUUUCUUAAGGUUGACCUCGGAUCAGGUAGGGAUACCCGCUGAACUUAAGCAUAUCAAUAAGCGGAGGA